rnacentral:rRNA from 1 species
AUUGAACGCUGGCGGCAGGCUUAACACAUGCACGUCGAGCGAGCGGCGGACGGGUGAGUCAUGUCUGUGACACUGCCUGAUGGCGGGGGAUAACUCCUGGAAACGGUAUCUAAUACCGCAUACCAUCAGAUGUGCCCAGAUGGGAUUAGCUAGUAGGUGGGGUAAUGGCUCAACUAGGCGACGAUCCCUAGCUGGUCUGAGAGGAUGACCAGCCACACUGGAACGGAGACACGGUCCAGACUCCUACGGGAGGCAGCAGUGGGGAAUAUUGCACAAUGGGCGCAAGCCUGAUGAAGACAUGCCGCGUGUGUGAAGAAGGACUUCGGGUUGUAAAGCACUUUCAGCGGGGAGGCGUUACUCGCAGAAGAAGCACCGGCUAACUCCGUGCCAGCAGCCGCGGUAAUUC